rnacentral:rRNA from 1 species
CUACGGAGGAUGCGAGCGUUAUCCGGAUUUAUUGGGUUUAAAGGGUGCGUAGGCGGCCUUGUAAGUCAGCGGUGAAAUUUUGCAGCUUAACUGUAAAAGUGCCGUUGAUACUGUGAGGCUAGGAUUUGGUUGCUGUGGGUGGAAUGUGUGGUGUAGCGGUGAAAUGCUUAGAGAUCACACAGAAUAUCGAUUGCGAAGGCAGCUCACAAAGCCAAGAUUGACGCUGAGGCACGAAAGUGUGGGGAUCAAACAGGAUUAGAUACCCUGGUAGUCCACACUGUAAACGAUGAUAACUCGCUGUCGGCGAUAUACAGUCGGUGGCCAAGCGAAAGCGAUAAGUUAUCCACCUGGGGAGUACGACCGCAAGGUUGAAACUCAAAUGAAUUGACGGGG